UACGAAGGGGGCUAGCGUUGUUCGGAAUUACUGGGCGUAAAGCGUGCGCAGGCGGCUUCUCAAGUCAGGGGUGAAAGCCCAGAGCUCAACUCUGGAAUUGCCUUUGAGACUGAGUGGCUUGAGUACGAGAGAGGUGAGUGGAAUUCCCGGUGUAGAGGUGAAAUUCGUAGAUAUUGGGAAGAACACCGGUGGCGAAGGCGGCUCACUGGCUCGUAACUGACGCUCAUGCACGACAGCGUGGGGAGCAAACAGG
rnacentral:rRNA from 1 species